GCAUGGAGUUAGUUGGAUUAGAGAAACUUAAAAAACUUCUGCGAGAAAACCAGUACACAUCUGCUGAGAUGCCUGAUUGUGGUUUGUAUCGAUGGGUCAAGACCGGAGCUACUGAGGAGGAACUAGAAUCCGCUCUUCGGGCUCUUUCAGCCGUAGAGAUUAAACUGCAAGGGCUAUUGACGUACUCAAUUUCACUGCGGUAAAUGGGAAAGCUAUUCAUAUCAUGUACUCUCAUAGAGACCCAAGCGUUCGUAAAAGUGGAACUGCAAAUAUAUUCAUCAAGAAUUUGGAUAAAUCAAUUGACAGCAAGGCAUUGCACAACAUAUUUUCUAGCUUCAGUAACAUACUCUCUUGCAAGAUAGCUACAGACGGUACAGGCCAGUUAAAAAGGUUACGGGUUUGUGUAGUUUGAAACCGAAGAAGCUGCACAAACCGCAAUCGAUAAUCUGAACAACGGUAUGUUGAUCAACGACAAGCAAGUUUACGUCGGUCACUUUCUUCGUAAGGAAGAACGUGACUCAUCCAUUAAGCAACACAAAGUUUAACAAUGUCUACGUGAAAAACCUAUCUGAAUCAACCACCAACGAAGAUUUAAAAAAGAUCUUUGGUGAGUAGGGAACAAUAACGAGUGCGGUUGUUAUGAGGGAUGCAGAUGGGAAAUCAAAAUGUUUUGGGUCCGUUAACUUUGAAAAUCCGGAUGACGCUGCUAAUGCUGUUGAAGCGUUGAUGGAAAGGCUAAGAAGAAAUCGGAACGAGAACUUGAGUUGAAAAGUCGGUACGUUAAGAAUUUGGACGAUUCGGUUAGUGAUGAUAAACUUAAGGAACUUUUCUCCGAGAGUAUGGAACAAUCACUUCAUGCUAGAAAUUCAGAAUCAGUUGUGGUACGAAAUAGACAUCAUAACUGAAUAUGAUAUCAGUUGGGACACCCGCCGCAACGCGCCAGCAUUCCCACUAGUU